rnacentral:rRNA from 1 species
UACAGAGGUCUCAAGCGUUGUUCGGAUUCAUUGGGCGUAAAGGGUGCGUAGGUGGCGCUGUAAGUCGGGUGUGAAAUUUCGGAGCUUAACUCCGAAACCGCAUUCGAUACUGCGGUGCUUGAGGACUGGAGAGGAGACUGGAAUUUAUGGUGUAGCAGUGAAAUGCGUAGAGAUCAUAAGGAAGACCAGUGGCGAAGGCGGGUCUCUGGACAGUUCCUGACACUGAGGCACGAAGGCCAGGGGAGCAAACGGG